AUUGAACGCUGGCGGCAGGCCUAACACAUGCAAGUCGAGCGAGCGGCGGACGGGUGAGUAAUGUAUGGGGACUGCCCGAUAGAGGGGGAUAACUACUGGAAACGGUGGAUAAUACCGCAUACUAUCGGAUAACACAUAUGGGAUUAGCUAGUAGGUGUUGUGAAGGCUCACCUAGGCGACGAUCUCUAGCUGGUCUGAGAGGAUGAUCAGCACCACUGGGACAUAUAACAGGCCCAGCCUCCUACGGAGGCAGCAGGUGGGAAGAUUGCACAAUGGGCGCAAGCCUGAUGCAGCCAUGCCGCGUGUAUGAAGAAGGCCUUAGGGUUGUAAAGUACUUUCAGCGGGGAGGCGUUACCCGCAGAAGAAGCACCGGCUAACUCCGUGCCAGCAGCCGCGGUAAUAC
rnacentral:rRNA from 1 species